rnacentral:pre_miRNA from 1 species
AGUGGGAUAAGUGAGUCAAAUGGUGAUUUCAUUCCAAGUUUUCUAAGGAAUCUCCAUUCUGCUUUCCAGAGUGGAUGUACCAGUUUGCAUUCCCACUAGCAAU